rnacentral:rRNA from 1 species
UACGUAGGGUGCAAGCGUUGUCCGGAAUUAUUGGCGUAAAGAGCUCGUAGGCGGUUUGUCGCGUCUGCUGUGAAAACUCGGGCUUAACCCCGGGCUGCAGUGGGUACGGGCAGACUAGAGUGCGGUAGGGAGACUGGAAUUCCUGGUGUAGCGGUGAAAUGCGCAGAUAUCAGGAGGAACACCGGUGGCGAAGGCGGGUCUCUGGGCCGUAACUGACGCUGAGGAGCGAAAGCGUGGGGAGCGAACAGG